ACUUGCAAGAUGGUGAACUAUACCUGAGCAGGAUGAAGCCAGAGGAAACUCUGGUGGAGGUCCGAAGCGAUUCUGACGUGCAAAUCGAUCGUCUGACUUUGGUAUAGGGGCGAAAGACUAAUCGAACUAUCUAGUAGCUGG
rnacentral:ncRNA from 1 species